UUAAUUUCGACCGGGAGUAUCAAAUUUGACAAAGAGCUUUCAGCUCGAGUCCUUAUUUUCGAAUCUGUAAACAAGCCGAGUCAAGAUUGGUGAAAUUACACAAAGAGAAGAAUAUAAAUGUGUUAUCUGAUUCAGACCGCGGGUUCAUUUUUUGUAACACACUCGACAAAUAAACAAGAUUUGGCCCGGGGCUGGAAAGGGCAGAGCUUUCAUAAUUCCAUUGCUUAUUUGUUAACGCAGUCAUCUCGAGCGGAUCCAUAUUUACAUAUUUCCGCAUGUGUUAAUGUUUACCACUCAAACACAGCCGAGGGCUUUGAGAAUACGACAAAUACAGAUAGAUAGACCGUCAAAUUAGGUUACAUCUCUCGCAUGUUGCCUCUGAAAACAAUCAGCUAAGCUAAUAACACCCGCGCUGAGUUGACACAUUUUAAAUGUCACCGAAUCGUUGAAAUGUUUUUUCGGCACAAUCCCAGAAAAAUUCAAUAUGAAAUUUUACCACUCACCGGCAGGGAGCACGUCAUACGUGAGGGCUUCUCCCUAGAUGCGGUGAAUCUUUACAUAAAUAAUUUCAUCAAGCCUGACGCUGAAUUAAACAAGGAGGGCAAGAGCAAGAGUUGGGACGUUUUGACCACGGAACAAAAAUGGAAAAGCUCGCACUCUCAGGAAAGCAAUGAGGCGCGAAAACUGGCGACUUUUAAAAGGCUUAAGCGGAAAUUAGACACUAUUAGAAAUUUCUACCCGGAUAUUUAUUACAGCAAGCAGAGUGUUAUCGAUUUAUGGGCGAGACAUAACGAGUUGUAUCAAAUGGAUUUAGACGUUUUGGAAUAUGACAAGGAUUCACCCAUCUGGCUUUGGAUAUGAAAGCUCAUAAAAGCAUCUAUUUAAUGUACGAAAGCUCGCACAUAAACUAUGUCAGGAA